rnacentral:rRNA from 1 species
AAUCAACGCUGGCGGCGCGCUUAACACAUGCAAGUCGAACGAGAAAGUGGAGCAAUCCAUGAGUAAAGUGGCGUACGGGUGAGUAACACGUGGGUAAUCUACCUUUUGGUGGGGAAUAACCCUGGGAAACCGGGGCUAAUACCGCAUAAGCUCGAAAGAGGAAGAGAGAAAUUUGCCGAAAGAGGAGCCCGCGGCUGAUUAGCUAGUUGGUGAGGUAAAGGCUCACCAAGGCGAAGAUCGGUAGCCGGCCUGAGAGGGCACACGGCCACACUGGAACUGAAGCCCGGGCCAGACUCCUACGGGAGGCAGCAGUGGGGAAUCUUGCACAAUGGGGGCAACCCUGAUGCAGCGACGCCGCGUGAGCGAUGAGGCCCUUCGGGGUGUAAAGCUCUUUCGGCCCGAGCGAUAAUGACGGUACGGGAAGAAGAAGCUGCGGCUAACUACGUGCCAGCCGCCGCAGUAACAC